rnacentral:rRNA from 1 species
UACGAAGGGUGCAAGCGUUAAUCGGAAUUACUGGGCGUAAAGGGUGCGUAGGCGGUUCGUUAAGUCUGUCGUGAAAUCCCCGGGCUCAACCUGGGAAUGGCGAUGGAUACUGGCGAGCUAGAGUGUGUCAGAGGAUGGUGGAAUUCCCGGUGUAGCGGUGAGAUGCGUAGAGAUCGGGAGGAACAUCAGUGGCGAAGGCGGCCAUCUGGGACAACACUGACGCUGAGGCACGAAAGCGUGGGGAGCAAACAGG